rnacentral:rRNA from 1 species
UACGGGGGGGGCAAGCGUUGUUCGGAAUUACUGGGCGUAAAGGGUUCGUAGGCGGCCUACUAAGUCAGACGUGAAAUCCCUCAGCUUAACUGGGGAACUGCGUCUGAUACUGGGGGGCUUGAGUGCAGGAGAGGAACGCGGAAUUCCAGGUGUAGCGGUGAAAUGCGUAGAUAUCUGGAGGAAUACCGGUGGCGAAGGCGGCGUUCUGGACUGCAACUGACACUGAUGAACGAAAGCCAGGGGAGCAAACGGG